AAAAUAUAUAUAAAGGAAAGUUCAUUAAAGCCCUCUUUGUAAUACCAAAAAAGCUGGUAAUGAUCUGAAUGUCUAUCAGCCAGACACGGUGGCUCACGCCUAUAAUCCUAGCACUUUGGGAGGCUGAGGUGUGUGGAUCACUUGAGCCCAGGAGUUCAAGACCAGCCUGAGCAACAUGGUGAAACCCCAUCUCUGCAAAAAAUACAAAAAUUAGCCAGGCGUGGUGGUGUGUACCUGUGGUCCCAGCUGCUGGGAAGGCUGAGGUGGGAGGAACAUUUGAGCCCAGAAGUUGAGCCGUGAUCACGCC
rnacentral:lncRNA from 1 species